UACGUAGGGUGCAAGCGUUGUCCGGAAUUAUUGGGCGUAAAGAGCGUGUAGGCGGCCAGGUAGGUCUGCUGUGAAAACUCGAGGCUCAACCUCGAGACGUCGGCGGAAACCAUCUGGCUAGAGUCCGGAAGAGGAGAGUGGAAUUCCUGGUGUAGCGGUGAAAUGCGCAGAUAUCAGGAAGAACACCGGUGGCGAAGGCGGAUCUCUGGGCCGUAACUGACGCUGAGGAGCGAAAGCAUGGGGAGCGAACAGG
rnacentral:rRNA from 1 species